rnacentral:rRNA from 1 species
ACGGAAGGCAGCAGUGAGGAAUAUUGGUCAAUGGGCGGAAGCCUGAACCAGCCAAGUCGCGUGAAGGAUGAAGGUAUUAUGUAUUGUAAACUUCUUUAGACGUAGAGAAAUAAGGGGGUCGUGACCUCUGAUGCUAGUAUACGUAGAAUAAGGAUCGGCUAACUCCGUGCCAGCAGCCGCGGUAAUACGGAGGAUCCGAGCGUUAUCCGGAUUUAUUGGGUUUAAAGGGUGCGCAGGCGGCUUUUUAAGUCAGUGGUUAAGUCGUGGAGCUUAACUCCAUCCCGCCAUUGAUACUGGAGAGCUUGAUUGCGGUUGAGGUUGGCGGAAUUCGCCGUGUAGCGGUGAAAUGCAUAGAUAUGGCGAAGAACUCCGAUUGCGUAGGCAGCUGACCAAGCCGUAAAUGACGCUCAUGCACGAAAGUGCGGGGAUCGAACAGGAUUAGAUACCCUGGUA